UACGUAGGUGGCGAGCGUUGUCCGGAUUUACUGGGCGUAAAGAGCGCGCAGGCGGUCGUUCAAGUCGGAUGUGAAAGCCCCCGGCUCAACUGGGGAGGGUCAUUCGAUACUGAUCGACUCGAAGGCAGGAGAGGGAAGCGGAAUUCCCGGUGUAGUGGUGAAAUGCGUAGAUAUCGGGAGGAACACCAGUGGCGAAGGCGACUACCUGGCCUGUUCUUGACGCUGAGGCGCGAAAGCUAGGGGAGCAAACGGG
rnacentral:rRNA from 1 species